rnacentral:rRNA from 1 species
GAUGAACGCUGGCGGCGUGCCUAAUACAUGCAAGUCGAGCGAACAGACGAGGAGCUUGCUCCUCUGACGUUAGCGGCGGACGGGUGAGUAACACGUGGAUAACCUACCUAUAAGACUGGGAUAACUUCGGGAAACCGGAGCUAAUACCGGAGAAUAUAUUGAACCGCAUGGUUCAAUAGUGAAAGACGGUUUUGCUGUCACUUAUAGAUGGAUACGCGCCGCAUUAGCUAGUUGGUAGGGUAACGGCUUACCAAGGCGACGAUGCGUAACCGACCGUAGGGGGGGAAGGGCCACACUGGAGGUGAGACACGGCCCUGACACUGACGGGCGGCAGCAGCACGGAAUGGUCCGAAAUGGGCGAAAGCCUGACGGAGCAACGCAGCGUGGGUGAUGAAGGUCUUCGGGUCGUAAAACGCCCUUCUGGUUGAAGAACAAAUGUGUAAGUAACGAUGCGCGUCUGAACGGAAUCGAUACAGAAAGCCCCGCCUAACUCGGU